AUAUCUCUCUGUACGGGAAGGAUGAGAAGCUUCGACUAAGGUUCGAUUCGAGCGCAGCGAGAAAGCGUUGCCGCAGGCAACG
rnacentral:sRNA from 5 species